rnacentral:misc_RNA from 1 species
GAUGAAGAACGCAGCGAAAUGCGAUAAGUAAUGUGAAUUGCAGAAUUCAGUGAAUCAUCGAAUCUUUGAACGCACAUUGCGCCCGUCAGUAUUCUGGCGGGCAUGCCUGUUCGAGCGUCAUUACGCCCCUCAAGUCCCCUGUGGACUUGGUGUUGGGGAUCGGCGAGGCUGGUUUUCCAGCACAGCCGUCCCUUAAAUUAAUUGGCGGUCUCGCCGUGGCCCUCCUCUGCGCAGUAGUAAAACACUCGCAACAGGAGCCCGGCGCGGUCCAUUGCCGUAAAACCCCCCAACUUUUUAUAGUUGACCUCGAAUCAGGUAGGACUACCCGCUGAACUUAAGCAUAUCAAUAAGCGGAGGA